rnacentral:misc_RNA from 1 species
UCUCCGUUGGUGAACCAGCGGAGGGAUCAUUAAAGAGUUCUAUAACUCCCAAACCCAUGUGAACAUACCUUACGUUGCCUCGGCAGGUCGCGCCUACCCCGUAACGUCCUACCCUGUAGGACCUACCCGGUAGACGCGGGUAAGCCUGCCGGCGGCCCACGAAACUCUGUUUAAUAUUGAGUUCUGAACCUAAAACUAAAUAAGUUAAAACUUUCAACAACGGAUCUCUUGGUUCUG